CCGAGGAGGAGUUGUAAGAAAAGAGGAACGUGUGGCUCUUCAGAUAAGCACGCGUGAAUGUUUAUCACGGGCUAAGGGAGGAGAAACAAAAACACAGUGAGCUAAAUAGUUGUUGUGUCUGACUUUUCACAUUCGUGGUUUUUACUCAAACCUUACCACAAUCUCGACGGCACAAGGACCUUGGCGUAAAGGUCUCCCCUCCACUUUUCCAGACAAGGGAAACUGAAAUUUAUGAUCUCAACCCACAGUAGACCACCAACCUCAGGACUUCCAUGCAUCUGACACCAGCAGAGCAAAACAGUCCUAUGAAUCUGGGGAGGAUGAUGAAAGAAUCUGACCUAUGGACACAUGGCAGAGGCAUGCAGAAAACUGGUAUCACCACAUCUCUUCCUUAUUUCAUCAUCUUGAUCUCAUACUUCAAUUUGAGCAAAAGUUUUGAUAAGUUUUCCUUAACCAGAGGAGAAGGUGAGUGACUCAAAGUCAUCAGAAGCUACCACCCGACAACUCCCCAAUUACAUUUCUUCCACACACACAAAAAAAGCAAAGAUAAUUUUUACAGUACAAAAAUUUUAUUUUUUUGUUAGGAUAAUUUAAAGUUUAAAACUGAAGUAGACAUAUUCAUUUUACAAACAAGAUAUUCUUUCAUAAGGAAGACCAUUAAAAACAGUAAACAAAAAAAGCUGUCUUUACAAAAAGCUCUGUGCAUAGCAACUUUAUACUGUAUGUAACUGACAAAGCAAGAAAACAAACAAACAAACAAAAAAAAAAACCCAAAACUAUACAGUUUGGAAAUGAGGCCUUACUGUACAAAAGGUAAAGGUAAUGGUGUUUAAACCAUGCAUGUUGAAAUGUGCAAAGAAAAACUGGGAAGAAUUUCGAUGCUGUAACCAAAGAAAUGAGAUAAUGCAGUAAGUUGUACCUUUAAAUGAAAAAAAUCUUACACAGCUCCUCUCAAAAAUAGAACAGAAUUUUUGUCAUUACCUAUAGAGAUACUUGUCUGCCAAGUGGCAUAAAAAUAACCUGGGACCAGAAUCAUUUAAUAGCAAUGACUAAAGAGGACAGAGUGGCUUUGUUUUUAAUUUAUUAGUACACUAAAAAUAACCCUUACACACGUUUGUACAAUUAAAUAGAUCUGUGGCUGCCGAUGUCCUAGUGAAUGGUCAAAGAUGUCCAGUAUUUAGUUACACACAGUCUUCGGUGUAAAGCUACUGACAGAUUCUACGAUCAUUCUGGAGACAGAACUGCACUAAUCCUCAUGCAAGAGAAAGAUUCACAGGUUCUAAAAGCUAUGCUACUUUUUAAAAAAA